UACAUAAGUAACCUGCCCUAGACAGGGGGAUAACUAUUGGAAACGAUAGCUAAGACCGCAUAGGUACGGACACUGCAUGGUGACCGUAUUAAAAGUGCCUCAAAGCACUGGUAGAGGAUGGACUUAUGGCGCAUUAGCUGGUUGGCGGGGUAACGGCCCACCAAGGCGACGAUGCGUAGCCGACCUGAGAGGGUGACCGGCCACACUGGGACUGAGACACGGCCCAGACUCCUACGGGAGGCAGCAUG
rnacentral:rRNA from 1 species